UAGUAGCUAGUUUAAUUAAAAACAAGUGAUUUCGACUCACUAGAUUAUGCUUAAAUACAUAACUACUAA
rnacentral:tRNA from 1 species